UAGAGUUUGAUCCUGGCUCAGGACGAACGCUGGCGGCGUGCUUAACACAUGCAAGUCGAACGCUGAAGCACUUUCGGGUGUGGAUGAGUGGCGAACGGGUGAGUAACACGUGGGUAAUCUGCCCUGCACUUCGGGAUAAGCCUUGGAAACGAGGUCUAAUACCGGAUAGGACAGCUUCUCGCAUGGGGAGUUGUUGAAAGUUCUGGUGGUGCAGGAUGAGCCCGCGGCCUAUCAGCUUGUUGGUGGGGUGAUGGCCUACCAAGGCGACGACGGGUAGCCGGCCUGAGAGGGUGACCGGCCACACUGGGACUGAGACACGGCCCAGACUCCUACGGGAGGCAGCAGUGGGGAAUCUUGCGCAAUGGGCGAAAGCCUGACGCAGCAACGCCGCGUGGGGGAUGACGGCCUUCGGGUUGUAAACCUCUUUCGACAUCGACGAAGCCUUCGGGUGACGGUAGGUGUAGAAGAAGCACCGGCUAACUACGUGCCAGCAGCCGCGGUAAUACGUAGGGUGCGAGCGUUGUCCGGAAUUAUUGGGCGUAAAGAGCUCGUAGGCGGUUUGUCGCGUCGGCCGUGAAAACCUGCCGCUUAACGGUGGGCGUGCGGUCGAUACGGGCAGACUUGAGUUCGGCAGGGGAGACUGGAAUUCCUGGUGUAGCGGUGAAAUGCGCAGAUAUCAGGAGGAACACCGGUGGCGAAGGCGGGUCUCUGGGCCGAUACUGACGCUGAGGAGCGAAAGCAUGGGGAGCGAACAGGAUUAGAUACCCUGGUAGUCCAUGCCGUAAACGUUGGGCGCUAGGUGUGGGGACUGUUUCCACGGUUUCCGUGCCGUAGCUAACGCAUUAAGCGCCCCGCCUGGGGAGUACGGCCGCAAGGCUAAAACUCAAAGGAAUUGACGGGGGCCCGCACAAGCGGGCGGGAGCAUGUGGAUUAAUUCGAUGCAACGCGAAGAACCUUUACUGGUUUGACAUGCACCAGAUUGCCUCAGAGAUGGGGCUUCCUUGUGCUGGUGUACAGUGAUGCAUGACUGUCGUCAGCUCCUUAUGGAUGCUGGGUUAAGUUCCCGCCAACCGGAAGGCGCGCAA
rnacentral:rRNA from 1 species